UGGGGAAUAUUGCACAAUGGAGGGAACUCUGAUGCAGCGACGCCGCGUGAACGAAGAAGGCUUUCGAGUCGUAAAGUUCUUUUAUAUGGGAAGAUAAUGACGGUACCUGUAGAACAAGCCACGGCUAACUACGUGCCAGCAGCCGCGGUAAUACGUAGGUGGCGAGCGUUAUCCGGAUUUACUGGGCGUAAAGGGCGUGUAGGCGGCUAGAUAAGUGUGAUGUUUAAAUCCAAGGCUUAACCUUGGGGUUCAUUACAAACUGUUUAGCUUGAGUGCUGGAGAGGAUAGUGGAAUUCCUAGUGUAGCGGUAAAAUGCGUAGAUAUUAGGAGGAACACCGGUGGCGAAGGCGGCUAUCUGGACAGUAACUGACGCUGAGGCGCGAAAGCGUGGGGAGCAAACAGG
rnacentral:rRNA from 1 species